rnacentral:rRNA from 1 species
ACUCCUACGGGAGGCAGCAGUGGGGAAUAUUGGACAAUGGGCGAAAGUCUGACGGAGCAAUGCCGCGUGAGUGAUGAAGGUUUUCGAAUUGUAAAGCUCUGUUGUAAGGGAAGAAUAGCAAGAAUAGGAAAUGAUUCUUGUCUGACGGUACCUUACCAGAAAGCCACGGCUAACUACGUGCCAGCAGCCGCGGUAAUACGUAGGUGGCAAGCGUUAUCCGGAAUUAUUGGGCGUAAAGCGCAUGUAGGCGGCUUUUUAAGUCUGAUGUGAAAGCCCCGGGCUCAACCUGGGAACUGCAUUUGGAACUGGCAGGCUAGAGUUUUGUAGAGGGUGGUAGAAUUUCAGGUGUAGCGGUGAAAUGCGUAGAGAUCUGAAGGAACACCGGUGGCGAAGGCGACCACCUGGCCAAUAACUGACACUGAGACGCGAAGGCGUGGGUAGCAAACGGGAUUAGAUACCCUGGUAGGCUCUG